UACAGAGGUGGCAAGCGUUGUUCGGAAUUACUGGGCGUAAAGGGCGCGUAGGCGGUUCUGUAAGUCCCGCGUGAAAUCCCCCGGCUCAACUGGGGAACUGCGCGGGAAACUGUGGGGCUAGAGUUCAGGAGAGGGAAGCGGAAUUCCGGGUGUAGCGGUGAAAUGCGCAGAUAUCGGGAAGAACACCCGUGGCGAAGGCGGCUCUCUGGGCCGGAACUGACGCUGAGGAGCGAAAGCGUGGGGAGCAAACAGG
rnacentral:rRNA from 1 species